rnacentral:sRNA from 1 species
GAGGCCGCCAGUGUCGCUGCUGAAGGGUGGACCAGGCGGGAUCGCGGAUUCUGGGCUAGAUCGCAGACUUGAAUUCGACACCAAAUUUUGGAACUUAAAAAGAAGAUUCUUAAAACUUACAAUCCAGGUUGUUUAGGCUGAGAAGGAAGAGAGGUUGGUCUUGCUGUCUCUGGGUUGCAGAGGCAGAAGAAAAUCUGCAUAUAAAUGAACUCCUGCAAUUCAAACCCUUGCUGUUCAAGGGUGAACUGUAUUACCUGUUAAUUUGUGUCACUAAGAAAGUAUCUUUAGA